rnacentral:rRNA from 1 species
AUACGGGGGGUGCAAGCGUUAAUCGGAAUUACUGGGCGUAAAGCGCGCGUAGGCGGUUUGCUCAGUCGGAUGUGAAAGCCCAGGGCUCAACCUUGGAACUGCAUACGAUACUGGCAAACUAGAGUGUGAGAGAGGAUAGUGGAAUUUCCGGUGUAGCGGUGAAAUGCGUAGAUAUCGGAAGGAACAUCAGUGGCGAAGGCGACUGUCUGGCUCAACACUGACGCUGAGGUGCGAAGGCGUGGGUAGCAAACAGGAUUAGAAACCCUAGUAGUCC